UACGAAGGGGGCUAGCGUUGUUCGGAAUCAUUGGGCGUAAAGCGCACGUAGGCGGCCUGUUAAGUCGGGUGUGAAAGCCCUGGGCUCAACCCAGGAAGUGCACUCGAAACUGGCGGGCUUGAAUAUGGAAGAGGGUCGCGGAAUUCCUGGUGUAGCGGUGAAAUGCGCAGAUAUCAGGAGGAACACCAAUGGCGAAGGCAGCUCGCUGGGACGGUACUGACGCUGAGACGCGAAAGCGUGGGGAGCAAACAGG
rnacentral:rRNA from 1 species